GAUGAACGCUGGCGGCGUGCCUAAUACAUGCAAGUCGAACGCUGGAAAUCUAGCUUGCUAGAUUGAAGGAGUGGCGAACGGGUGAGUAAUACAUAAGCAACCUACCCACGAAGACUGGGAUAAUCUCUGGAAACGGGGACUAAUACCGGAUAGGUAAUCGGAAGGCAUCUUCUGAUUAUUAAAGGUUAAAAACACUGGUGGAUGGGCUUAUGGCGCAUUAGUUAGUUGGUGAGGUAACGGCCCACCAAGACGAUGAUGCGUAGCCGGCCUGAGAGGGUGAACGGCGACAUUGGGACUGAGACACGGCCCAGACUCCUACGGGAGGCAGCAGUAGGGAAUUUUCGGCAAUGGGGGAAACCCUGACCGAGCAACGCCGCGUGAGUGAUGACGGCCUUCGGGUUGUAAAGCUCUGUUGUAAGGGAAGAACGGUAGAUAGAGAAUAUCUAAAUGACGGUACCUUACCAGAAAGCCACGGCUAACUACGUG
rnacentral:rRNA from 1 species